UCCUCGAUCGUCUAGUGGUCAGGAUGCCACGCUUUCAAUUUGCGGGGCAACCCGUGAGCAGAGGAUCCGUGGAGGCCGGGGUUCAAUUCCCCGUCGGGGAG